rnacentral:tRNA from 1 species
GGGGCUGUAGCUCAGUUGGCUAGAGCAACACAUUUGCAAUGUGUAGGUCGUCGGUUCGAGCCCGACCAGCUCCACCA